UGUAGUUGAUUAAAGAAUUUCGGGGAUGAUGAAAUGGAGCACCAUGACACUGGACUGGAGCAUGAUGCUGAAUCAGUGCCUGGAUAUCAGCUGAUGAAAGCCAUCAUACAGGUGGGCUGCAAAGCUGCAAUCUACAUCUCAGAACGUCUCUAAAUAUUUUCAGAGUAUUCAAAAGAGUUACCCUAAUGUCUUGUAAAUAUGGCUGCUACUUUUUCUGUCUUUAAAGUGUUAAAAAUAUUUUCUACUGCACCAGCUUAAUUUGAAGAUACAACUUAUAAGCAAGCCAUUUUGGGUUAAUUUCUCAGAAAUGUGUGUAAACUAUGGUUCUAUCAAAACAUUGCUCUGUUUGUUUGUGCAUCCCAUCCUGCCCAGCACAGUAAUACAGUCUCAGCUAAUGUUAAGCCUGGGACUAUUUCUUUGUGUGACCAGUAGGAGGAAUAUAUAAAAAGCAAUUUUAAAAAAACAUAUUUUUUACAGUUUCAAUGUAAUGGCACUAGUGUUGUAGAAAUUACAUAUUUCAUUUAUAAUGAAAUGUUCCUCACAGCAGUAUAAAUAUAUUUAAAAUAUAUUUAUUGCGAUUUUAUACAUGGCAAGUUUUUGUCUAAUUCUGUAAGGUAUAUUCAAGAAUAAUAAAAUAAACUUCUUAUCAGUCA